GGCCGUGUGGCGGAAUUGGCAGACGCCCUGGACUUAAAAUCCAGUGAGGGGUAACCCUCGUGCGGGUUCGAGUCCCGCCGCGGCUA
rnacentral:tRNA from 1 species